GAUGAACGCUGGCGGCGUGCCUAAUACAUGCAAGUCGAGCGAACGGAUUAAGAGCUUGCUCUUAUGAAGUUAGCGGCGGACGGGUGAGUAACACGUGGGUAACCUGCCCAUAAGACUGGGAUAACUCCGGGAAACCGGGGCUAAUACCGGAUAACAUUUUGAACCGCAUGGUUCGAAAUUGAAAGGCGGCUUCGGCUGUCACUUAUGGAUGGACCCGCGUCGCAUUAGCUAGUUGGUGAGGUAACGGCUCACGAAGGCAACGAUGCGUAGCCGGCCUGAGAGGGUGAUCGGCCACACUGGGACUGAGACACGGCCCAGACUCCUACGGGAGGCAGCAGUAGGGAAUCUUCCGCAAUGGACGAAAGUCUGACGGAGCAACGCCGCGUGAGUGAUGAAGGCUUUCGGGUCGUAAAACUCUGUUGUUAGGGAAGAACAAGUGCUAGUUGAAUAAGCUGACACCUUGACGGUACCUAACCAGAAAGCCACGGCUAACUACGUGCCAGCAGCCGCGGUAA
rnacentral:rRNA from 1 species